GACAAGUGUUGGACAGCCGGAGUCAGUCCCCAUGGAGACUAUCUUUGAUAACAGAUUUCUUUUGGGGAAUAGCUGAGUUUGUGGUUUUGUUUUUUAAAACUCUGCUUCAGCAAGAUGUGAAAAAAAGAAGAGGCUAUGGAAACUCAUCUGAUUCCAGAUAUGAUGAUGGAAGAGGGCCACCAGGAAACCCUCCCCGAAGAAUGGGUCGAAUCAAUCAUCUCCAGGGCCCCAGCCCUCCCCCAAUGGGUGGUGGAUGAGGAAGGUAAAUGUCUGCUCUAAGAAGCAGACAACUAAACGUACACAUUCAUAGAAGAAGGAAACCAUUAAGAAGUGGAGGGCUACCAUGCUAGACAAGUGGAGGAAUGUGUACGUCUAUAUAAGGAUUGCUCUGUGUCCUCACAGAUCAAUGAGGUCAUGCUGGGAAUUCCCUCUGCAGGGAUCUGGCCUGACUGACAUGCAAGUCCAUAAAUGCACAUGUUUGUCUCAUUAUCUUUUUUGUAUAGUAAAGUAUUAAUAUAGUUUUAAUAAGUAAAUAUUUUUAGGUUGUAAAACUGGUUCCUCAUCUUUAUAUAAUUAAUCACAAAACACUCUAAACCUGAAGAAAAUAAAGGCUGCAUAUUCAGUG